CAGCAUAUGGUACUUUCUAUUGGGUUUAGCUUAUGUGCUUCAAAGCUAUCUUAUUUCUGGUGGAGUACUCAAGAGCUACAAAGCCCUUAAUUUGGGCAAGCUACGGUACCUGGCAAUUGUGAUAGAAAGUGAAGAAGCUUACCAAACAUUAAAAGUAAUUGAGCUGCUGCAGUGGCUAGAAGCUAUUGGUGUGAAGCGUGUGUGCCUCUAUGAUACAGAAGGAGUGUUGAAGAAAUCAAAAGAAGCCAUCUUGAAUAAACU